rnacentral:rRNA from 1 species
CACAUGCAAGUCGAGCGGAAACGACUUAUCUGAACCUUCGGGGAACGAUAACGGCGUCGAGCGGCGGACGGGUGAGUAAUGCCUAGGAAAUUGCCUUGAUGUGGGGGAUAACCAUUGGAAACGAUGGCUAAUACCGCAUAAUGCCUACGGGCCAAAGAGGGGGACCUUCGGGCCUCUCGCGUCAAGAUAUGCCUAGGUGGGAUUAGCUAGUUGGUGAGGUAAUGGCUCACCAAGGCGACGAUCCCUAGCUGGUCUGAGAGGAUGAUCAGCCACACUGGAACUGAGACACGGUCCAGACUCCUACGGGAGGCAGCAGUGGGGAAUAUUGCACAAUGGGCGAAAGCCUGAUGCAGCCAUGCCGCGUGUAUGAAGAAGGCCUUCGGGUUGUAAAGUACUUUUCAGUUGUGAGGAAGGGGGUGUCGUUAAUAGCGGCAUCUCUUGACGUUAGCAACAGAAGAAGCACCGGCUAACUCCGUGCCAGCAGCCGCGGUAAUACGGAGGGUGCGAGCGUUAAUCGGAAUUACUGGGCGUAAAGCGCAUGCAGGUGGUUCAUUAAGUCAGAUGUGAAAGCCCGGGGCUCAACCUCGGAACUGCAUUUGAAACUGGUGAACUAGAGUA